rnacentral:rRNA from 1 species
AUUGAACGCUGGCGGCAUGCUUUACACAUGCAAGUCGGACGGCAGCACAGAGAAGCUUGCUUCUUGGGUGGCGAGUGGCGAACGGGUGAGUAACAUAUCGGAACGUACCGAGCAGUGGGGGAUAACUAAUCGAAAGAUUAGCUAAUACCGCAUAUCUUCUGAGGAAGAAAGCAGGGGACCAUUUGGCCUUGCGCUGUUUGAGCGGCCGAUAUCUGAUUAGCUAGUUGGUGGGGUAAAGGCCUACCAAGGCGACGAUCAGUAGCGGGUCUGAGAGGAUGAUCCGCCACACUGGGACUGAGACACGGCCCAGACUCCUACGGGAGGCAGCAGUGGGGAAUUUUGGACAAUGGGCGCAAGCCUGAUCCAGCCAUGCCGCGUGUCUGAAGAAGGCCUUCGGGUUGUAAAGGACUUUUGUCAUGGAAGAAAAGGGCGGGGUUAAUACCCCUGUCUGAUGACGGUACCUGAAGAAUAAGCACCGGCUAACUACGUG